GGUUGCUCAGUGGUAGAGUGCUUGCUUUGCAUGCAUGAAGCCCUGGGUUCGAUUCCUCAGUACCA
rnacentral:tRNA from 1 species